AUACGUAGGGAGCAAGCGUUGUCCGGAAUUACUGGGUGUAAAGGGAGCGCAGGCGGGAAGACAAGUUGGAUGUCAAAUUGAUCGGCUUAACUGAUCCUCGCAUUCAAAACUGUUUUUCUUGAGUGAAGUAGAGGUUGGCGGAAUUCCUAGUGUAGCGGUGAAAUGCGUAGAUAUUAGGAGGAACACCAGUGGCGAAGGCGCCCAACUGGGCUUUUACUGACGCUGAGGCUCGAAAGCGUGGGGAGCAAACAGGAUUAGAUACCCGGGUAGUCCACGCCGUAAACGAUGAAUACUAGGUGUGGGGGGACUGACCCCUUCCGUGCCGCAGUUAACACAAUAAGUAUUCCACCUGGGGAGUACGGCCGCAAGGUUGAAACUCAAAGGAAUUGACGGGG
rnacentral:rRNA from 1 species